rnacentral:rRNA from 1 species
UAACACGUGGGUAACCUGCCCAUAAGACUGGGAUAACUCCGGGAAACCGGGGCUAAUACCGGAUAACAUUUUGAACCGCAUGGUUCGAAAUUGAAAGGCGGCUUCGGCUGUCACUUAUGGAUGGACCCGCGUCGCAUUAGCUAGUUGGUGAGGUAACGGCUCACCAAGGCAACGAUGCGUAGCCGACCUGAGAGGGUGAUCGGCCACACUGGGACUGAGACACGGCCCAGACUCCUACGGGAGGCAGCAGUAGGGAAUCUUCCGCAAUGGACGAAAGUCUGACGGAGCAACGCCGCGUGAGUGAUGAAGGCUUUCGGGUCGUAAAACUCUGUUGUUAGGGAAGAACAAGUGCUAGUUGAAUAAGCUGGCACCUUGACGGUACCUAACCAGAAAGCCACGGCUAACUACGUGCCAGCAGCCGCGGUAAUACGUAGGUGGCAAGCGUUAUCCGGAAUUAUUGGCGUAAAGCGCGCGCACGUGGUUUCUUAAGUCUGAUGUGAAAGCCCACGGCUCAACCGUGGAGGGUCAUUGGAAAACUGGGAGACUUGAGUGCAGAAGGAGGAAAGUGGAAUUCCAUGUGUAGCGGUGAAAUGCGUAGAGAUAUG